AGCCUUAUAGCUCAACGGUAGAGCGCUUGGCUUAUACCCAAGAAGCACCAGAUUAGUGCGUGAUAUAGGUUCGAAUCCUAUUAAGGCUA
rnacentral:tRNA from 1 species